rnacentral:rRNA from 1 species
GACGAACGCUGGCGGCGUGCUUAACACAUGCAAGUCGAACGGAAAGGCCCUGCUUUUGUGGGGUGCUCGAGUGGCGAACGGGUGAGUAACACGUGAGUAACCUGCCCUUGACUUUGGGAUAACUUCAGGAAACUGGGGCUAAUACCGGAUAGGAGCUCCUGCUGCAUGGUGGGGGUUGGAAAGUUUCGGCGGUUGGGGAUGGACUCGCGGCUUAUCAGCUUGUUGGUGGGGUAGUGGCUUACCAAGGCUUUGACGGGUAGCCGGCCUGAGAGGGUGACCGGCCACAUUGGGACUGAGAUACGGCACAGACUCCUACGGGAGGCAGCAGUGGGGAAUAUUGCACAAUGGGCGGAAGCGUGAUGCAGAAACGCCGCGUGCGGGAUGACGGCCUUCGGGUUGUAAACCGCUUUCGCCUGUGACGAAGCGUGAGUGACGGUAAUGGGUAAAGAAGCACCGGCUAACUACGUG